UAAGGAAUAUUGGUCAAUGGGGGCAACCCUGAACCAGCCAUGCCGCGUGCAGGAAGACGGCCCUCUGGGUUGUAAACUGCUUUUAUUCGGGAAUAAACCUGCCUACGUGUAGGCAGCUGAAUGUACCGAAGGAAUAAGGAUCGGCUAACUCCGUGCCAGCAGCCGCGGUAAUACGGAGGAUCCAAGCGUUAUCCGGAUUUAUUGGGUUUAAAGGGUGCGUAGGCGGCCUGUUAAGUCAGGGGUGAAAGACGAUAGCUCAACUAUCGCAGUGCCCUUGAUACUGAUGGGCUUGAAUGGACUAGAGGUAGGCGGAAUGUGACAAGUAGCGGUGAAAUGCAUAGAUAUGUCACAGAACACCGAUUGCGAAGGCAGCUUACCAUGGUCCUAUUGACGCUGAGGCACGAAAGCGUGGGGAUCAAACAG
rnacentral:rRNA from 1 species